rnacentral:misc_RNA from 1 species
UUAAGUUCAGCGGGUAUCCUUACUUGAUCCGAGGUCAAUCUUGAUAGAAUAAUUGGGUUUGUCCGGCAGGAGCCGCCCGGGGAUCCAAUCAGCGAGAAUAAAAGUCACUGCGCUGGGACCCCGGCCGAUCCGCCGCUGAUUUUUGGGGGAGCCUACUCCCCAGGGGGAUAAAGGCUUGCCGCCCAAUACCAAGCAGAGCU